GUGCUCACUGCGGCAGCAAAUAUACUAGAAUUGGAACGAUACAGAGAAAAUUAGCAUGAUUCCUGUGCAAGAAUGACAUGCAAAUUCGUGAAGCCUUCCAUAUAUUU
rnacentral:snRNA from 1 species